CAGGGGCCUUUCUGUGUGGAGUCUGCAUGUUCUCCCUGUGCCUGUGUGGGUUUUCUCCAGGUACUCUGGUUUCCUCCCACAGUCCAAAAACAUGUAUGUCAGGUUGAUUGGUGACUCUAAAUUGCCCAUAGGAGUGAGUGUGAGUGUGUGAGGUUGUUUGUCUCUAUGUGGCCCUGUGAUGGACUGGGGACCUGUCCAGGGUGGACCCCUGCCUUUCACCCAGAGAGAGAUGGGAUAGGCUCCAGCAGGUCCCCGUGACCCUGGUUAGGAAUAAGGGGGUACAGAUGAUGGAUGGAUGGAGCCAGCACACUGAGACGACAGUUACAGUGAGUCCGGUCUCAGAUCGUGUGAAGAUGUUGGAACUAAUUUAAACACAACUUCUUCUUUCCAUGUCUUCACUGAGCGGAUGUGUUUUCUUCUGGUUGUUUUCAAACUUCCACAUUCAGCUGCUCUGAAAACUCUGCACAGACAAACAGUCACAAAGACACAGUUUCUUUUAAUAACCUGAAAAAAUCCUCGACCACCUGAACUGGAGGUGACACCAGUGGACCAGCACUAUGCGAGAACACCACUGACUCACCAGUAACACCAGUUACAUUAACAUCAGUGCUUUGAUGGAAACCAGUAAAAACACUGACAUGUCAAACACACCAGUGACAAAACCAGUUAACAUCAAUGAGUCCAGUGCUCCCAGUAACACCAGUGUCUCCAGUGUUUACACUUAUGACCAGUGACGUCCUGAGUGUCAACAGGGAAGUGGUGACAGUGAAGGCGUCGCUCUGCUGCUCAGAGACCAGUCUCCAUCCAGACACCAUGAAGCCUCCAGCUGUGAGUCUGCUGCUGGGUGUGUCUGUGCUGCUGCUGUCUGGACUGACUGUUUCUGCAGUCUCUCUGCGUCUCAGUCCAAACCUUCAGCAGUUCUUCAGUGGAAACUCUAAAGUGUCUCUGAGUUGUGUUGAAGAUGGACAGACAGGUGGUGGAUGGACAGUGAAGAGGACCAGAGGAAACCAGACUGAGGACUGUGGAGCAGCUGGUUCAGGGUCCAGAAGGUUCAAUAGUUCCUUCUGUGGUCUGGAUCUCUUGAGCUCCUCUGGUGGAACUUUCUUCUGUGAACACACAUCUGGACAGAGGAGCGAUGACGUCACCAUCAUUGUCUCAGAUAAAAAAAGUGGUCCUCUGAUCAUCGAGGUUCCUGCUCGUCCUGUGCUGACAGGAAGUGAUGUCACUCUGCGCUGUAAACACAGAGAUCGUUCUGAAGUAAAAGCUCAUUUCUUCAGGGACGAUGUCUUCAUUGGAUCUGGACCUAAAGGAGAGUUUACACUUCAUCAUGUCAACCAGUCUGAUGAAGGCCUCUACUCCUGUUCUACUGAUUCACUGUUAAAGUGCAAACAGAGCCGCCUCAGGGUCAAAGAUCCUCCUACUACGACCUCUGACCCUCCAACCUCCACCACGUCUCCUUCUACACCGUCUGCUCCUUUUUCUUCUUCUUCUCUCUCCAAUUCUACAGACUCCUCCUCUGGUUUCCCCACCUCCUUUCUCCACUAUCUCCUCCUGGUUCUCCCUGCAGUUCUGGUUUUUCUGGUUCUGGGUCUGGUUCUAAUUUUGUGGCUGUGGAGGAAACGAACAGGUAUGAAAACUAUCAGCUUCAGGUCUGUACAGAAUCUAUAACCUGUGAUUCCUGUCCAAUCAGGGACGUCCCCAGGACACCCUGCUCGUAGAGUCCUCCCAGCUCUCUCAUCUGGACUGAACCUGAGUGAAUCCACCACAAUGAUCCAGUAAACUGACUGAUGACUGUGUGUUUGCAGGUCCAGGCCCAGGACUGGGUGCUCUGAGGAAACACGUUGCAG
ensembl:lncRNA